CAUGCUAGUACAUAAUUUGACCUAGAUUUCUCUCGAUUGGAUUUCCUAUAAGAUAGGGUUAAGCCUAAUCCAAUUGGAAAGUUGCUUGGACAUGGAUGUUAUCCAUUCAAUUUUGAAUGGGUUGUUAUUAUUGUCCUAAAGAAAGGAUAUGGAGGAAGAGUGCCAAGUGUUGGCGCCCCACUUGUUUAUCGAUGAUUCCUC
rnacentral:lncRNA from 1 species